CUAGUAGACUAUUGUGUCACAUUGCUCACCAGCCAGUGUUUAGCUAUGUCAGUAUAGCGCUGGACUAGUAGUCUAUAGUGCCACAUGGCCCACCAGCCAGUGUUUAGCUCUGUCAGUAUAGCGCUGGACUAGUAGUCUAUGGUGUCACAUGGCCCCCCAGCCAGUGUUUAGCUCUGACAGUACAGCGCUGGACUAGAAGUCUAUAGUGUCACAUGGCCCACCAGCCAGUGGUUAGCUCUGUCAGUAUAGCGCUGGACUAGUAGUCUAUAGUGUCACAUGGCCCACCAGCCAGUGUUCCGCUCUGUAACUACAGCGCUGGACUAGUAGUCUAUAGUGUCACAAGGCCCACCAGCCAGUGUUUAGCUCUGUCAGUAUAGAGCUGGACUAGUAGUCUAUAGUGUCACAUUGCUCACCGGCCAGUGUUUAGCUCUGUCAGUACAGCGCUGGACUAGUAGUCUAUAGUUUCACAUGGUCCACCAGCCAGUGUUUAGCUCUGUCAGUACAGCGCUGGACUAGAAGUCCAUAGUUCCAGACCAUGUCCUAAUGAAGGCAUUUAUAAAGUUACCUUUGUUACAACGUGUGAGCAACAUUUUAUGUUUUGUUUUAUUUUGUUGUGAGAGUGAGAUUUGUGUUAGAGUCUUUAGUAGAUAAAGUGGCAGUGUGUCCACUUUGAUCAAUGGUGAUGUUCCUUUGUUCCUGUUAGAACAGCGGGUAAUUUGGAUUCAUUUUUUGAGGGCUUCGCAAAAUUCUUGGUACAAAGCUGUAAUACAGUUAUAGUGACAAAUUCAUUUCUAUUUGAUGGGAAAAAAUAUGAACCUGAUUGAUUACAUAUUUCUUACAAUAGAGGGUUUUUAAAUGUCAAAGUCUGGUUAAUACAAUAUAAUUUGACUAACUUAAAAUUGGAUGAGUUAAUAGAUGACAUCUAGGUAGCUGUCUCGGACAGAUGACAUCUAGGUAGCUGUCCCGAUAGAUGACAUCUAGAUAGCAGUCCCGGACAGAUGAAAUCUAGGUAGCUGUCCCGGACAGAUGACAUCUAGGUAGAAGUCCCGGACAGAUGAUGUCAUCUAGGUAGCAGUCCCGGACAGAUGACAUCUAGGUAGAUGUCCCGGACAGAAGACAUCUAGGUAUCUGUCCCGGACAGAUGAUGACAUCUAGGUAGCUGUCCCGGACAGAUGACAUCUAGGUAGCAGUCCUGGACAGAUGAUGACAUCUAGGUAGCUGUUCCGGACAGAUGACAUCUAGGUAGCAGUCCCGGACAGAUGAUGACAUCUAGGUAGCUGUCCCGGACAGAUGAUGACAUCUAGGUAGAUGUCCCGGACAGAUGACAUCUAGAUAGCUGUCCCAGACAGAUGACAUCUAGGUAGCUGUCCCAGACAGAUGACAUCUAGGUAGCUGUCCCGGACAGAUGACAUCUAGGUAGCUGUUCCGGACAGAUGACAUCUAGGUAGCAGUCCCGGACAGAUGAUGACAUCUAGGUAGCUGUCCCGGACAGAUGACAACAUCUAGGUAGCUGUCCCGGACAGAUGAUGACAUCUAGGUAGCAGUCCCGGACAGAUAACAUCUACGGUAGCUGUCCCGGACAGAUGAUGACAUCUAGGUAGCUGUCCCGGACAGAUGACAUCUAGGUAGCCAAUUCUCAUUCUGAUGUACUGUAAAUAUUCUUUUUUGUUUGUUUGUUAAAUAUUUCAAGAGAUAUUUCCAAAACUUACUAUCAUGUGAAUAAUUCUGAACGGUUUUUAAAAGCUUUUUCAUUCACAAACAAUGUCACAGGAUCUAUAUGUUGUUUUUUUUUGUUUUUUUUAUGGAACCAAUUAUAAUAGAACCACUCAAAAAUAGAACUUCAUCCUGUCUGGCGUUUUGAGUAAAAUUGAAAUUAGGCCAUCUACGUAUACCUUCUCACAUAUAUAGGAUGACAAGUUUGACAUUGUCCGCUUUGUGAUAUUUUGAAGAUAAAUCCAGGCUGAACUGCAAAGAUCAUAUAUUGAAGGCCUCAAAAGUGUUUUUGUAAUGCUCAUCUAGAUAUCAAAUUUGGAAACUAGGUCCAUUAGGAUGCUGCUCCAAUUAGUUUAAUCUGUUGAACACCAUGAACGUGUGUAUGUUUAAACCUCUUUCACUAACACGAAAACUUCAGUAACCUUUUGAUGCUAGUAGCAUAGAUUGAAUACAGUAUUAAAUUAUUGUGUACGUGAAUGCAAAUAUUUGUUAUUGCAUAGUGUGUAGUCAUUUUUGAGCCAUCUUUAUUAAGAAUAAUUUGUAUGCAGUUUCCCUACUCAAAGUUUUUCAGUGGAUAUGUAGAUGUAGAUGUAGGGGGAAGGGGUGGGUGGGGGUGGUCAUAUUUCUAUUUAAAACCCCAAAAUAUCAUUGAUUUUUCAGCAUUAAUUUUUAUUUUUUAUUUAAAGUUUCAAACGAAAGGUUGAGUUGGCGCCAUUUUUAGGUAGUCCGGGAAACCACAAACAAACAAUUUCUGAAGUAUGGCCUUGUUUACUGAUGUUUUAUAGGUAAUGUGGGGAAGAAAGAAUCAUCAUGUCAUCUUCAUCAUCGUUGUUGUCAUCACAACCAUACAGAAGAAAUAUUGUUAUUAAAAUUAUGCUUAUUUCUGA